CGCGCCCGCCCCGCCCCGGCGCGCCGCGUGUUCAGCGGGAUCCCGGCGGGAGAUCGCCCUUUCCGAGGGGGACGGAACCGAGCGGCCGAGCCUCCCGCCUCCGGCCGGCGUGCGUGCCUCGGCAGAAAGUGAAGCUCAAGAUGAGUUUGCUCCUGGCUUUGGGAAUCCUCAGUCUGGACUCUGCCAUGCCUUGCAAGCAGAAAGAUGCCACGUGAAUUCUGGAGCUGCAGAAGUUCUGUGACAUCAGAUGACCACCUCCACUGUCUUCCAGUGUGUGUGCACACUUGUGUGUGUGCACAAAGGGCCAAGAGGAGAGUCUACUCACUUCUAAAAGUGUGGGUUUUUAAGAAGCUUGAAAACAGAAGCCUGGAAUGUGGAGCUCUAAUGCACUUGGAAAUGCUUCUGUUACCAUUCCUGCUCGUCAGAAAUACUGCUUGGUUCCAUCGUAUGGCAGGGGAGUGGCUGUUCACCGAAAAUGAAUAAUCCUGGAAUGAAGUUCGGGAUAGUGUGUCACUCUAGAAAGAGAAGUGGCCUUCUGGGCAGUCUUAGAACUUAUAUGAAUUUUUGAGUGUAUGAAAUAAAUGGAUCAAAAGUGAAUAAAACA
rnacentral:lncRNA from 1 species